CGGACGUAUUUUUAUAACGCACCAAAAGUCUGCAUGCAAGAAAAAAUGCCGAAGAAAUGUAAGAAAAGCCAGGAGGUGGACAACGAGAAGACGCUGGUGACGUGCCCCGCCCGGAGGUCCCUCCAGGUGGGCAAGAACCGCUUCGACGGAGAUGUGGGCAUCUUUCCCCUGGAGUUUAGCAAGGCCUCGCUUACCUUCUGCACCCCCGGUAAAGGGCAAGCACAAGUUGAGAAAGGUCAAAGGUGACAAGGGGGAGGGGUCGGAGAACAAGGAGACUUUAGGAGAGACUCUAAAGAAGGAGGAGACAACGGUAAAGAAGGAGAAACUAGUGAAGUUGGAGAGGCCACCCAAAGCUACCAAAACGCUCAGAGCUGUUAAGAGUCCUGCAACAGGGAAGGGCACAACAGAGGGAGGGGAAGGAAUAGCCAUAGAGGGAAGACUUCACUCAUUGAUCUAAGCAAAGAACAGGAUCUCGGUGUAUGGUAUUAUAUAAUAUAAUGCAUUAUGUUAUGAUUUGAUAUGACAGAAAAAGGUAUUUGGGUCUCUGUUUAUGGUACAUUUAGUAUGAUAUAAUAUCAUGAAAAAAAUGUAUUGCUUAAUAUUGAUGAUUUGUCACCUGAUUGGAGAACGUGUUUGCUUUUGUGACUGAAAGGUGGGAUGAAAGCUGUUAUCUAAAGGAGAAAAGAGCUAUGUAAAAUAAGGUUAGUAUGAAAUGGAUGUUGGCAAUGAAUGACCAUUGAAAAGUGGUAUUGGCACUUAAAGUAAUAGUUGAAAGACAAUUGACUCACCAAAAUGAACACAAAUAUAGUGCUGCUGCUUGUUUGCCUCAUUUAAACAUGAAGCGCUUUUGUCAAACAUUUCUGCAUCUCCAAUACUGAUCACAAGGGUGUUUGUAAUUCAUCAAAAUAGUUUAUUCUCUGAGUUUCCAUACAUAAUCAUGCGUGACUUGUGUACAGGAGGCCUAUGUAGCUAACCUACAGCUGAGGAUUAAGGUAUAUUGUAUGUAUGGAUGGGCCAUUUCUAUGCUUUUCUUAUAGCUUUCAGUGUGGACAAUGUUUAGCGUCUUUAUCCUGGGGUCCUUUAAGGAGUGAAUGUUUUAUUUGUUAAUUUUUUUUUUUAUUCCUGUUGUGAGUCAGUAUGGCUUUAAUCAUUGACAAGGGAGGUGCUCAAAUUACCCUCUUUACCUGGGUGUCCUGAGGUGGUAAAUUAUGUUGAGGCUUCAGACUGGUGCUCAUACUUGUCUCUGAUUGGCCAAUGAAACGUCACAGGUGUCAGAUGACCUUGUUUAUAUAUUAUUUCGUAGAGAAACUCAACUACUGUAUGCAUUACAUAAUAAGCAUUGUGCAACUACAAUAGCUCCACUGGAGGAAUAUGUAAAACCAGUGUCAGCUCCAAGUGUCAGGAUGAAAAUAAGCAGGUGUGUGCCCCCUACUGGAACAUUGUUUGACACCUCUGAUAUACUGUGUUCCAAUGUAAUAACUUCAUGACAUUUUCAACAGACCUCUACACAGACCAUAUGUUUCUACGUUAGAUACUAUCACAAGGACACUAAAAAAAUUUCUUUUAACGUGCAUACCCUGUCAGGGAUUUUCAUGAUAUUCAGAUUUAUGUGGGAUAUCGGGGUUCGUCUCUGUGUUGCAUAUUGUUCUAACCUCCUCUUCCCUCAGGACUGAAUAGAUAAGACUGUGGAGUCUGUCAGAUCCACUAUGGUUUUUCCCUCCACAGACCAGUCCUGGGAAACUCCUGGCAAGACACUGGCCUGGUAGUCCUAGCCUGUAGUCCCCCUGAGCUCUCUGGGUAGCUGCUGGAACUAAAAUAUUGUUCUAAGCACAGCGAACCAACCAUCCCCCUAAAAUGUUAUUGUAUUCUUGUAUUCUAGCCAGGGAGUUGUAUGCAGUACUUGGCUUAAGAAGGAGGGGAAACGAACAGGAUAUCAUCCACUCAAUGCAAAACACAAGGCAUGGAGAUGGGAGCGAUUUUAGUGUGUGAAACACAGCUUUGCUGAGACUGCAGGGGAGACAGUUUCCGGGCAGAUGCGGUGCUAGGUUUUUCAUUCGAUAAUUUCCCCCCUGAGGAUUUUCAUGUGAAUGCUUAACUGCUGUGGACGUAGGCUACAGUAUCAGAACAUUCCAUAAUGAUUCCAGGCUGUGGGGUUCUGGUUCCGUAAGUCUGGGUGUCUUCCUGACGGUGUGGGCGUGGGACAUUGGCAUUAUAAGUGUUGGUUGAAAGAGGCCCUUUGUUCUCUCUGGGCGUUCCUGGAUGGGGAUGGCGGCUCCAUCACUUGCUCCAAGGGGUAGGAAACAUACACAAACUCAACUGAAUGCAUAUGACGUCACCUACACAUGCUUGUACGCACGCAUGCAAGCACAUCGCAUGCUCGCAAACACACACUGAGGCAUUGCGAAAGACAACAUUUGUGAUAAUCAUACAUUCAUGAAACCCUGAAUGGUGUUGGCAGCUGUUUACAUCAUAUUUUAUUUCAGGUAACAGUGACAUGGCGUUUCAACAACUAUGUUUACCCACACAAGAUCACAUGGAAUAAAAACCUGCUGUUGAAUGGAUUGAGUACAUAGGAAACAAUAAGCAGUGAAUAAGAGGACUGUCUUGAAAGAGGCAGAUUGAUCAAAUAUUGACAUCCCCAGUUCCUAGAAGUCCUGAAGCUUAUUCUUUUGUUUUAUGGUUUGUUUGCUCUGAUCUGAGUUCUGUGCCCAUUCAAAUGGCUGACAUCUGGAGAAGGAGAGGAGGAUGGAACAACUUCAGAUCAGCAACUUAAUUAUGGAGGAGGCAAAGCAUGAUAUCUGUGAAACCAAAGGAAUUUCACCUAAUCAAACUCAAGUGUCUGACGGUUUCAGAAUAUAAGGGAAAUUGGCUAUAGCUCAAUCUAAUCACGCAGAUUUAAAGGGUUAUCUUCAGAGAGUUUAUACUCAGAAGUUAUGUAAAUGUACUAUACACUUUGUCUUACACAAGCAUGGAGCCAUACAGAUAUGGCAGGAAUCUCAACAAUCUCGUUUCCCCUAUGGAAGCCUCUGCUGCUCUUUUCUGAUACUAAGGUUGGUGGGGAUGGAUAUGCAUAGUUCUUCGGUCCAUUAACUUCCCUUCAUUUUGACAUCAAGGCAACUAUGUCGACAAAGCUGGAGGUAAUUUCAGGAGCCUAAAUCACAGUCAAUCAGCAACAAGGCUUUGGCAUCAGAGAGCUCUUGUACUUUGUGAGGAGGCCAACUAUUGGACAACCCCAGACCUUUUCUUCCUGAUACAAGGACAUAUCAAGAAGACACUAUUGCAAAAUAUGUGCUUCCUGUUCAGCAUUGAUCGUGAAAUAAUCUUCUGGAAGCAAUAUUUUAUUGGAGGAAAACUCUCCAAAAACAUACAAGGAUUUCUUCUGAAGCAGACACUGUAGCUGUUCUUGCUCUUUAUAGUUUUUUUGUGGAGGAGCCUUUUGGAAGUUGGCCUUUGGGGGAAUUAAGUGUUUUCUGUCUUAGUCUUUGAUGCCUUUCUUUGAGUUCCUUCCUUCAUUACAUCUGGAGCUUCUCUCUCUCUCAUGCUCCUUUCUUCUUCAUAUUGACAUGAAUAUUUAAAUUACAUAACCUGGUUUCUGCUUAACACUUCAGUGAACUCAAAUGGCUUUGUUUUUGUUCUGUGCUUCCUUCUUUAUAAUAUAAACAUUUUUUUUGUAUAAUUG